GAGGAACUACUGUCUUCACGCAGAAAGCGUCUAGCCAUGGCGUUAGUAUGAGUGUCGUGCAGCCUCCAGGCCCCCCCCUCCCGGGAGAGCCAUAGUAGUCUGCGGAACCGGUGAGUACACCGGAAUUGCCAGGACGACCGGGUCCUUUCCAUUGGAUCAAACCCGCUCAAUGCCUGGAGAUUUGGGCGUGCCCCCGCAAGACUGCUAGCCGAGUAGCGUUGGGUUGCGAAAGGCCUUGUGGUACUGCCUGAUAGGGUGCUUGCGAGUGCCCCGGGAGGU
rnacentral:other from 1 species